rnacentral:rRNA from 1 species
UACAGAGGUGCCGAGCGUUAGGCGGGAUCACUGGGCUUAAAGCGUGUGUAGGCGGGCGGGCAAGUACCUUGUGAAAUCCCACGGCUCAACCGUGGAACUGCUGGGUAUACUGCCUGUCUUGAGCCAGCCAGGGGCAGUCGGAACAGACGGUGGAGCGGUGAAAUGCGUAGAUAUCGUCUGGAACGCCAAAGGUGAAAACAGACUGCUGGGGCUGUGCUGACGCUGAGACACGAAAGCCAGGGGAGCGAACGGG